rnacentral:rRNA from 1 species
GAUCAUUACUGACACUGAGGAACGAAAGCAUGGGUAGCGAAGAGGAUUAGAUACCCUCGUAGUCCAUGCCGUAAACGAUGUGUGUUAGAUGUUGGAAAUUUAUUUUCAGUGUCGCAGGGAAACCGAUAAACACACCGCCUGGGGAGUACGACCGCAAGGUUAAAACUCAAAUGAAUUGACGGGGACCCGCACAAGUAGUGGAGCAUGUGGUUUAAUUCGAAGAUACGCGCAGAACCUUACCAACACUUGACAUGUUCGUCGCGACUCUAAGAGAUUAGAGUUUUCGGUUCGGCCGGACGAAACACAGGUGCUGCAUGGCUGUCGUCAGCUCGUGUCGUGAGAUGUUGGGUUAAGUCCCGCAACGAGCGCAACCCUCACUUCUAGUUGCCAUCAUUAAGUUGGGCACUCUGAAAGAACUGCCAGUGAUAAGCUGGAGGAAGGUGGGGAUGACGUCAAGUCCUCAUGGCCCUUACGUGUUGGGCUACACACGUGCUACAAUGGCAUCUACAACAGGAAGCAAAACGGCAACGUUAAGCAAAUCCCGAAAAGAUGCCUCAGUUCGGAUUGCACUCUGCAACUCGAGUGCAUGAAGCUGGAAUUACUAGUAAUCGUGGAUCAGCGUGCCACGGUGAAUGCGUUCCCGGGUCUUGUACACACCGCCCGUCACACCAUGGGAGUUGGUUCUACCUUAAGGCAAGGUUUCAAACCCUUGACCACGGUAUAGUCAGCGACUGGGGUGAAGUCGUAACAAGGUAACCGUA